rnacentral:lncRNA from 1 species
CAGCAGUAAGGUAAAAAAUCAUCAGUAGGGGAUGGGCUGUGGCAAAUUAGAAGACACCCCCACAAGGUUGCCAAGGAAACCAAACCAACUGCAUUUUUCUACAGAAAAGAAGCACGGAGUAAGACGAACAUGCCAUGGAAUAUUUUAUGGCAAAAUGAUGAAACGCCCUUCUUGAAAAACAUUUAAAGGGCUAAAUUUACUUCCAGACUAUUUUACUAUGCACUACAUUCACAAAGCAAGAGGUUAAGCUUGUGCAGUAUUCCCAAACUCCCAGCUAAGUGGAUAUAGCAAUUACCUUUCUAAAACCAGCUAAGCCUGGGCCAGUGAAAAGUACAGGACAUUUCCUCAGGUCUCUUGAAUACAUCAACAUCAAAAGUGAUCGCACCCAAAAAGAAAAAGCUUUCCCAAAUUGAAGCUGUUUUUCAAAAUGGAGACUUUUAAACAUCAUUUUUAAGAGAAAAAGGCAAAAAUCUAUGCCGACUAAAAUCAAAAGCUUGGUCUGAGUGUGCCAUUUCGGGCUGGAAAAGCGCAGAGUGGGCAGUAAAAAUGCUGUCAAGCUGGUAAAGGAGCGCAAAUAUCUCCAGGAGUAGGUGGUAAAGAAUCAUCAGCCGAGAGAAAUGCCACGUGAGAGCACAAAAUGAGGACCUGUGAUAAGAAUGUCACAGGCAGGGAGACUUUAACUAGCAGGUACAUGGCACUGAAAGGACACACAGCGAGCUGUGCCCCAGAAGCAGCAUCCAGCAAGGGGAGGUCCCACGGGUCCCGGGUCCCGGGUCCCCGGUAGGGAACCGUCCUCGCGGCGGGGCAGCGCGAGCUGAGGGUCCCAGGUAAACCCCACUCCGCGCGCCAGGCCACGGGACAGAACAGGCGAUAACUGGGGUACACUUAGACCGGGCACCUCGUUCCUCCCCCUCGGUUUUUCUUCCUCUCGACAGGGGAAGGGGGACUUCACACCAUCAAGGUGAAGCUUGGAGGGAAGCGGCAGACACAGUGCAGGAGAGCAAACCCCACGCCCCACCUCCCCAGGAGACCCCGGCGCCGGACUUCCUGGGAACAACAACCUCCAUCAACAAGAGCUGGAAGGAAAUAAAAGAUUUCCUGACUUCUGGGCUAAGGAGAAGUACAAAGAAUGAAGAUGUGUUAUGUACAUGUACCAACUCCCCACUAGGAAUGUGAUCAUUAUGUACUGCAAUCAUGUACUCAUAAAAAUUAAAAAGAUUCUAUCUUUUAAAAAAUUACCUGCUUCCUGGUGCUAUCUCUAUCUCUCAUUAGACCCUUAAAAGCAGAUACUGUAAGCAUCCUGCUUACUGUUGCAUGACUAGGCUAAUGUAAAACCUGACUUGUAGUGUGAGCACUAGAGAAACAAGCAUUAAAUACAUGAAAAGAAAAGACAUGGUGGUGAAACAGUCUGUAAUCUGGAAUUUAUCUAUUUAUCCAAAAGAUGGGAGCUGGCCAGGGUCCUGGUAAAAGCAACACAGGCAAGACAGGCUUGUCCUUGGCCUUGGGGGUCUAUACUAGGAUCUCCAUUCUCCUGCCUCUUUCACUUUUUUCUCCUCCCAUCUUCUGUUUCCAUUUCCAGUCACCCUAAACAUUUUCUAAAUCUAGGCCUUAUUUGACCCUUACACACAAGUUAAAAAAAAUUGGUGCUGGGCAUGGUGGUGCAUGUCUGUAAUCCUAGCACUUGGGAGGCUGGGGCAGGAGGAUCUCCAUGAGUCCGAAGCCAGCCUGAGCUACAUAGUGGGACCCUGUCUCAGAAAAACAAAACAAGGGCCAGGGAUGUAGCUCAGUAGUCCUCUGCUUGCCUGGCAAGGUCCUGAGUUUGAUCCCUGGUACUUCUCCUUCCCCUUUCUUCUCUUCCCCUUCCCUCCAUUUCUUGGUCCCUUUACCAGUAAACAGUUUAUUGCUAUAUUGUGUGGUAAAUGCUAAGAUAGGACAAGCCCAGGGCUCCCAGAAGGCAAUUAGAGGGACCUAACCCUAACUUGGGAAACAGAGGAGGAUUCCCCAAGCCAUGGGGUCUAAGCUAAAACCCACAGGAUACGAAGAGAGCAGCUAGGUGGAGGGAGAGAACUUCUAGGGUG